rnacentral:rRNA from 1 species
AUUGAACGCUGGCGGCAGGCCUAACACAUGCAAGUCGAACGGUAACAGGAAGAAGCUUGCUUCUUUGCUGACGAGUGGCGGACGGGUGAGUAAUGUCUGGGAAACUGCCUGAUGGAGGGGGAUAACUACUGGAAACGGUAGCUAAUACCGCAUAACGUCGCAAGACCAAAGAGGGGGACCUUCUGGCCUCUUGCCAUCGGAUGUGCCCAGAUGGGAUUAGCUAGUAGGUGGGGUAACGGCUCACCUAGGCGACGAUCCCUAGCUGGUCUGAGAGGAUGACCAGCCACACUGGAACUGAGACACGGUCCAGACUCCUACGGGAGGCAGCAGUGGGGAAUAUUGCACAAUGGGCGCAAGCCUGAUGCAGCCAUGCCGCGUGUAUGAAGAAGGCCUUCGGGUUGUAAAGUACUUUCAUCGGGGAGGAAGGGAGUAAAGUUAAUACCUUGGCUCAUUGACGUUACCCGCAGAAGAAGCACCGGCUAACUCCGUG